rnacentral:rRNA from 1 species
UGCCUAACACAUGCAAGUCGUACGAGAGUUUUUAACUCUAGUGGCGGACGGGUGAGUAACACGUGAGAAUUUACCUUUAGGAGGGGGAUAACAAUUGGAAACGAAUGCUAAUACCCCAUAUGCUUUCGAGUGAAAUGGAUUUA